CCUACGGGAGGCAGCAGUGGGGAAUUUUGGACAAUGGGCGAAAGCCUGAUCCAGCCAUUCCGCGUGCAGGAUGAAGGCCCUCGGGUUGUAAACUGCUUUUGUACGGAACGAAAAGGCUCUUGCUAAUACCAGGAGUCCAUGACGGUACCGUAAGAAUAAGCACCGGCUAACUACGUGCCAGCAGCCGCGGUAAUACGUAGGGUGCAAGCGUUAAUCGGAAUUACUGGGCGUAAAGCGUGCGCAGGCGGUUUUGUAAGACAGAGGUGAAAUCCCCGGGCUCAACCUGGGAACUGCCUUUGUGACUGCAAGGCUGGAGUGCGGCAGAGGGGGAUGGAAUUCCGCGUGUAGCAGUGAAAUGCGUAGAUAUGCGGAGGAACACCGAUGGCGAAGGCAAUCCCCUGGGCCUGCACUGACGCUCAUGCACGAAAGCGUGGGGAGCAAACAGGAUUAGAUACCCUGGUAGUCCACGCCCUAAACGAUGUCAACUGGUUGUUGGGAAUUUACUUUCUCAGUAACGAAGCUAACGCGUGAAGUUGACCGCCUGGGGAGUACGGCCGCAAGGCUAAACUCAAAGGAAUUGACGG
rnacentral:rRNA from 1 species